rnacentral:rRNA from 1 species
AUUGAACGCUGGCGGCAGGCCUAACACAUGCAAGUCGCACGAGUGGCGGACGGGUGAGUAAUGUCUGGGAAACUGCCCCAUAGAGGGGGAUAACAACUGGAACCGGUAGCUAAUACCGCAUACCAUCAGAUUUACCCAUAUGGGAUUAGCUUGUUGGUGGGGUAACGGCUCACCAAGGCGACGAUCCCUAGCUGGUCUGAGAUGAUGACCAGCCACAUUGGGACUGAGACACGGUCCAGACUCCUACGGGAGGCAGCAGUGGGGAAUAGUGAACAAUGGGCGAAAGCCUGAUGCAGCCAUGCCGCGUGGAUGAAGAAGGCCUUCGGGUUGUAAAGUACUUUCAGCGGGGAGGCGUUAACCGCAGAAGAAGCACCGGCUAACUCAGUGCCAGGCGCCGCGGUAAUAC